rnacentral:lncRNA from 1 species
UCAUGGAUGAACAUGUUACUAAAGAUUCUCCCAGAGAAGGGAUAUAAGAUGUUUAGGGUUUCUGAAAGAGAUUUCUUCAGCUGAGUCAAAAUAUUGGAGGUGUUGGUAUCACUCGGGGGAUAAAAUAAUAUGAUUGGAACAUAAGUGGUGGGAGUUAGCUGAUCAAAUACACAGAGUUUGAAGGGUUCUUUUAGAUGAAUUUCUGGGGAAGAUGGUUUGAUGAUUUCUUUUGAAAGAAUCUGAGCCUCAAACUUCAUCAUUUCUUUGUUUUUUUUCCCUCACCAAUAUGUUUACACAAACUCUAUAGGAAGGAGAAAAAUAUAUAAACUAUUGGAGAUCAAAGCCUCCACUAUAAGAUCUUCUAGUUUUGGCUAAACUACUAUAAAAGCCCUUCACUUAGUUUACCUUUGUUAAAGCCCUUCACUAUAAGAUCUCCAAUAAAUCUGCCAAAAAUAUUGUUAAUAAUAGUAAACAAUUGUAUUAAACAUGGAUAAUAAGUGUAGAUAGUAACAUAUUUUGAUGAAUUACCCAAAAAUUCUAUUUUUUUCGAAAAAAUAUAUCGGAUUAGACCGGUUUUUUUUAAUUUAUCGGAUUAAGCUGAUUUUGGAGAGAGUGUGGAUUUGGCAGGAAAGUGCUUCUAGCUAGAUGCACUUUCCUGCUCAGUCAACAAAGCACAUCUAGCUAGACGCAUUUUCCCUAAUGGCUACCCACUCAGCGGUCGAAUUCUAAUGGCUCCCCCCUAACAGUAACUCUUUUCCCCUAUUUAAACCCCAAAUUUCCCACUUUUUCAAUUCACUCUCUACUCUCUCAAUUCAUUCUCAAUCCUCUCUUAAUUCUCACUCAAUUCUCUCAGUUCACUCUCAUUUUUUAUUAAAAUUGUAUUAAGGUUUUUUAAUUUUUUUGUAUUACAAUUUUUAUUUGUAUUUAUUGAAAUUAUUAAUGACAAAUUCUCUUAUUCGUUUAGAUGACAAGCACAUUUCGACCGUUCAAUUGCAAAUGGUAAGAAUUUUUUUAUUACUUUUAAUCUAAUCUAAUUUAAUUAUUUUGUUGUUAUAUUGAAAUUUAAGAUUUUGUAUUUUUUUUUAUAAUUAGCUAGAAGAUCGGAUUUUGGAGACGUACAUUCGCAAUCUAUCUACUCCUUUAUCGUUUUUAAUCGAACCAUACUUGUGAGAUGCAAGAUUUUUGCACAUCGCCCGUAUGGGUAAGGGGUGCAAAUUGGAACUCGAACUUGUAAGCGUGUUGGUGGAAAGAUGGUUAAAGUCUUAUUGGUUUGAGAUGUGAAAUUGGACUUAUAUUUUGUGAUGUUUUCACUUAGGUCUUAAGAUCAACUAUACUUUGUUAAAUGACAAGAUGAAACUAAAAAGGUAUGAGCUUGUAGGAUUCUGCCUACAAGGUCGCGACACUAGCUUUCAACAUUACUACGUCCUUUGUUUGAGGUCGCAACGUUAACUCAUUGUUUUCAAAGUCGCGACAUUGCACCAUCAAAGUCAUGACACCAUGUUUCUGCCAUUGAUGACGUGACGUGAAACCUUCAUGGUGGCGACGCCAACUCGAUAAAACUUGAUAACUUUGCAUUUUGGUCCUCAUAUGGUCUCGGGUUAUCAUAGGAGCUUUCAUAAGCUUGUAUAAACCCAAAUAUGAGUUGGAAGAAUGUUUUAUUGAUGUUUUAUCUGAAAUAACUUAUAUAAAAAAUGUCCUUUUUUGAAAGAACAAUUUUGUAUGUUGAUAUGUGAGGGUGAGUUACAAUAUAAAUGCAAGAGGUAGAAAAGAAAAAUGAAUGCUCUUAUUAUAGCUCCUAGUUGUUUACAUUGAUUUCACUCUUUAGUAAUUGUGCUUACUUCAAGAAGGAAAAAAUAAUGCUCAUAGCCUACACUUUGCACCCUUUUCUUUGAAUUAUUAUUAGCUUAAAUUGUCUAGUCACCUAUUUUAAGAAGUUAUUUAAUUUAAUAAUUUUCGAUAGCUUAAUUGCAAUUAGUGAUGUUUAUGAAUUGGGUUGGGUCGGAUUUGGGUCGAACUCAUGCAACGUAUUUAAAUCAAUUCUCUAAGUUCGGGACCGACUCAGUCCAGAAAAUGGACUUACUUUUUUGUUCAAACUCGAUCCGAUUUAAGAAAAGUAAAUCUGUGCUUGACCCACCCAUAUUUAAAAUCUAGUUGGAUUUUAAUAUAAGUGUUGAAUGCAUGUGUUUGAUUUAUAUAAUUAUAUAUUUUUUCAUAUUCAUAUUCAAAUUUUUAGUAGAUGAGCUGGGGCGUCACCUCAUCCUGUAUUUCUUUCCAAUUAUUUAAUGACACUUCAACAAUUCUUUUCACGUCAUUGAUACAUAAUUUUGGUAAUUUUUUAAACCCCUAAACCUUGAAUUUUGAACCCAAAACCCCAAACCCCAACUCAAACCCCAACCCUAAAUCUUAAACACUGACCUCUAAACUUGACCAAUUAAUUAAAAGUUGUAAUUUCCCAUUGAUAAGGGUUAUAAGUUGAAUUAAUUAUUCUAAGUUAUUUGAAUGGUUUAAUUAAAUGAAAAUUAUUAUUUAGAUCAAUAAACAAACCAAACAAAUCUAAACUGAGAAAAAGCUAAAAUGUUGGAUUAGUCGUCGGCUUCGUUUUUACAAUUGUUUUUGUCGAGGUAAGUUCAUAUAAAGAUUUAAAUUCAUUAAUUGAUGUUCUGAAUGUAGUUUUGAUAAAUAUUAUACUAUGUAUAGAUUAGAUUGAUAGUUAUUUGAUGUUUUGGUAUUUCAGAUAUAAUCAUAAUGAUAGCUAAAUUGAAUGUUAUAAUUGAAAAAUGUACAUUUCAUGCUCACGUGGCAAAUAUAAAAAAAUCCAUAUUUUUUAAAUUUAAAAGAAAUAAAAUGUGCAUUUUAAUUACAUUAAUUAAAAUUAAAAUUUUAUGUUGUUGAUUUGGAACUACGUAGCAAAUUGUUAAAAAUCUUUAUUGAUUUAAAAAAAAUUAAAAAAAUUAUAGAUUUUUUAAAGUUUUUUAACACUUGAUAAUUUUAUUUAUUUUUAGAUUUUUUUAAUUUUUUGAAGUUUUUUUUUUAAAUUUUGUACUCUUCUAAAAUGAAUUUGUACAACUGUUUGUGCAAAUUUAUUUGAAUAUGAAGAACUUAUUGUUUAGAUUCAUUCUAUAUGCAUAUUUUAUUUUAUUUUUUAAAAAGAUUUUAUAUUUUCAAAAAAUAAUUAUUCAAAAUAAAAAAAAAUAUUUUUUUUGCUGACUAGGCAUGCUAGGUUAGCAUACUACCACAUGGCAAAUUUUAGUGGUUUUUGUCAACCAUGUUAAUGGUUAAAUCAGUCAAGUGACAGUUUCUGUUAAUGAAAGGAACCAAUAAAUUUUUUUAUUUUUUAUUGAGAUUUUUUUUUGACCCUUGGCAAAAGAAAAUUACUUGUGCUAAUUGUAAGAAUUGACAUAAGUAACUUUAAGGACUAAUAUGAUAAUAAAAAAAAAGUUAAAUACGUCAUGUAAGUAUUUAUUAUCCAAAUAAUUUCCAUAUCUAUUUAUUAAUUAAAAUAUUCUAUAAUCCCAUAACCAAUUAACCAAUUAACCGACCUUAGCUAAGUUGGUAGAGCGGAGGACUGUAGUAGAAUAUCCAAACAGCCAUCCUUAGGUCGCUGGUUCGAAUCCGGCAGGUCGGAUAUUGCCCUUUUUUUUUUUUUUACAAUUUAUUUAAAAGAAUAGGUUAAAUUUUGCUUUUAGUCCCUAUACUUUACUUGGUACUUUUUCAAAUUUUAAAGUUGCUUUGCAUCACUUUUUCACCUUAUUAAGAGAAUAGGUUAAAUUCUACUAUUAGUCCUGAUCAAAUUGUAACUGUUAAAUAAAUUAGUUUUUGUUAUUUCUAAAAUUUGAAAUGAGAAAUACAUUAUCACAUAUCUAUUAUUUCCAAAGAUGAUAUCAGUUUAAUUCAAUCAAACUUUUUUAGAAUUUUCGAACCAUCCAUCAUACUUUAAUUUAGUAAAUGAAUCAUAAUAAAAUGAUAAAAAUAAAUCAUAUUUAUAAUUAAAUAUUUAUUAAGAAAUGAUAAAAAUUUAUAUAAUUUUUUUUAUAAAAGAUGUAUUCAAUAAAUGAAUACUUAUGUAAAUUCUUAUCAAUUUCGGUUUCAAUCUUUAUUUAAAAAUACUAUUUUUGUAAUUGUUUUAUUUAAAAUUUUGAAUAAAAAUAAUAAAAGAUAAAAGAUACUAUUUUUAAAUUAAAAUUUACAAUAUAUCAAUUUUUUUAUAUAUUUUUUACAAAUUCUUUAAUAAUGAUUAGAAUUUUUUUAUCACUAUAUUUCAAAUAUCAAAAUAAUUUAUAUCUAUUUAUUAUUUAAUUAAUUAUUAUUUUGAAUAAUGUUACUUUACAUUAAUCACAACAUGAUAAAAUGCUUUAAUUAUGAUUUGAAUUUUUUAUUAUAAUAUUUGAAUGAUUAAAUAAGUUAAUGUAUUUUAAUUAUAUUCAACCAUUCAAAUAAAGCAUAUUAUUGAACCUCAUGUGAUGGCUUGAUGGUCAAAGGUGUUCAUUGUCCUAGGUGUGACUUGAGUUCAAGUCGCGUUGGUUGUUUGGGCUUUACCUUGCUAUUGUAAUUCACAAAAAAAGGAAUAUUAUUUUAAACUAAUUAUGAUAAUUAUAAAAAAAUAUUUAAAAAAUUAAUUAAAAAUUAAACACAUAAAAUCACAUUGUAAUUAUAAAAAUUAAUUUGCAAAAAAAAAAAAAAAACUGUUGUUUUGCUGCCAUUUCACUGUUAUGUUGUUAUUGUUUGCAUAUUGUAUAAUUCUUGUUUUAUUGUUAAUUUAUUACUAUUUUAGAGGCAUUUGUUUGUUAAGUUACACCUAUCUUAGUGUUAUUUAAGUAUAAAAACAUUUUUAAAUUUAUUUUCAGUUUGUUGAGAAAUAUUUAUUUUACUGUUUUUAGUAUCUUUCAUGUUUUUUUUUUAAAAAUUAACAUAGACCGAAUUAGGUUCGGGUUUAACAUCUAUAAAACGAACCUAAAAUUUUGUUAGGACCGACUUGAACCCGACCCGACACAGGUAUAGUUUAAACCCUUGAAACAUCAUUUUCUCCGAUGUGGAGUCAUAGUUUAAAAUGUCCUCACACAGCUGCACCAAAAUGGCAUGGUGGAGUGGACACAUGCCUUUCUUCUACAAGCCUUCGUGCCUCUGAUGUUUUGGAAAGAUGCGCUUUAUUCUACGACCUUUAUAAUCAAAAUACUUACUUCAAAGGCUAUUCAUCACAGGAACUCCUCAUGAAAUGGUCUUUGGAAGCAAGCUAGAUUAUGGUUAUCUAAAGGUCUUUGGCUGUAAGUGUUUUCCUUACCUUAUACCUUUCAAUAAAAAUAAACUUGAAUCUCAUUCAAUGCCUUGAACAUGCCUUGGUUAUUGUUCAAAUCACAAAGGUUACAAGUGUCUUACAGAUGAUGGGAGGGCCGAUAUGGUAUUACGUGAAUCAAUAAAUUCGAUACGGGUAUGAGUAAUGGUAUGAAUCGAAAAGGAAAUGAAUAUGUUCUUAGUAGUAGAAACUAUGGUAUUAUUUGGUUAUAUUAAAUUGUUGAAUGCAAUAUUUGUAUGAAUUGAUAUACAAAGCUAUUAUGCAUAUAUCAUAUCUUAAUGAAAUGUGUAUUGGCUAAAGGCUGAAUUGGAAUUGAUUGUGCAUAAUCUCGGUUUUGAUAUAUGCAUGUUAAUAGUUUUGGUUGAAUUAACUUGAAUCAUAAAAGUAUUGUUGAGCUUUAUCACUUAGCGUAUGGUUUGUUUAUUCCAUGUGCAGAUAUCCAUAAAUCUUGAAGCCUCGAGAGGUGAAACAAUGUCCAAAUUGUUGAUUCUGGACUCAGAAAUGUUUGCACAAUUCUCACAUUUCAAUAGAUGACAUGUACCUAAAAUUGGACCGAUUUUUAGGUUAUAAAUGGUCAAAUUAGUGUAAUUGAAUAAUGUAUGGAAAUGAAUAGUUCAUGAAAUUGGACCUAUAUAUUGUGAUGUUUGUCAUUUAGGUCUUAAGAUCAGCUAUACUUUGUUAAAUGGCAAGUUGAAAUUACAGAGUUAUGAGCUUGUAGGAUAUUCAGCCUACAAGGUCGUGACACCAGCUUUCAACGUCACGGCGUCUCCUGUUUAAGGUCACGAUGUCAACUCCCUGUUUUCAUUGCGACAUUGCACCAUCAGAGUCGCGACACCAUGUUUUUGCCAUUGAUGUCGUGACGUGAAACCUUCAUGGUGGCGGCGCCAACUCGAUAAAAUUUAAAAACUUUACAUUUUGGUCAUCAUGUGAUCUCAGAUUAUCAUAGGAGCUUUCGUAAGCUCUUAUAACCCCGGAUAUGAGUUGAAAUAAUGUUUUAUUGAUGUUUUAUCUGAAAUAACUUGUAUAAAUUAUUGAAUGGAUCGAUAUUGUAUUCCUAGUUACUUUGACAAUGAAUGUGACAUCCCGUAACUCGGACCCGACGAUCAGGUCGGAUAUAGGGUGUUACAGAUUCUUUAAAAGAAAUUAGUUUUAGAUGUAUUUGAUGAUAAAAUUAAAUCAACUAGAUUGAUAUGACAGUUUUAUUAUUUUAAAAAUUAUAUUAAAAAUGUAUUUUUGAUAUUUAAAUUAAAAUGAAAAUAUUUUUAUUAAUAAAUAUUAAUUGUAUAGGUCAAAUUUUGCUAUUGACCCUAUAUUUUGCAUAAGUUGUAAAUUUAAUACCAAUAAUUUAAUUUCGUUAUUUUCAGUCUCUAUGCUUUUAGAAUUUGAAAAUUUCAGUCCAGUAAUUAUAAAAUUCAUUAAGUUCUGUUAUUUUCAAAAUCUGAUAAGUCAAAUAUAUUAUCGCAUGUGUAAUGUUAUGUCAGCUUGUUAGUCUCAUAUAUUACUCACAAAAAAUUCAGUUAAUAGAUUUAAUGAGUGUUGUUUACAUUAAGACUAAAAUUUCGAAAUUAAAAGGAAUAUAAUGACUAAAAUUGAUCCAAUUGGAGAAUAUAAACCAAAUCUAUGACUUUACGAUUCAUACAUGAUUAAUAGCAUAAUUUAACUAAACAAAUUUGACUGUUACCAUUUGAUUAGGACUAAAAUUAAUCAAAUUAAAGCGCAAAUAUUAAUUUCAUAACUUAUAUAAAAGUACAUGGACUAAUAACAAAAUGUAACCAAUUUUAAUGUCCUUUUUUGAAAGAAUAAUUUUUUAUGUUGAUAUGUCAGGUAGAGGUGCUCAUGGGCCGGGCCCGGCCGGGUUCGGGCCAAGCCCAUAAAAAAUUUCGGCCCGGCCCGAAAUAUGGGCCUGAAAUUUUGUCCAGGCCCAGGCCCGGCCCGGGAAAAAAAUCAUAAGCCCGGGCCCAGCCCGGCCCAUUUUUUAAAUAAAUACCAAAAAAUUAUUUUAAAAAUUAAAAAAAGUAUUUUAAAAUACUUUUUAAAAUUUUAUAUUUUAAAAUUAAAAAAAUUUUAAAAAUAUUUUAAAAAUAUUUUAAAAUUAAAAAAUAAUAAAAAAGUAUUUUAAAAUUAAAAAAUUUAAAAAAUAAAUAUAUUUAUUAUAUCGGGCCGGGUCGGGCCCGGGCCAAAAAACUGGUGCCCGAGGCUGGGCCCGUUUUCUAAACGGGCCUAGUUUUUUUGCCCAAUCCCAUAUUUCGGGCCUAUAUUUUUACCCAAACCCUCCCAUAUUUCGGGCGGACCGUCGGGUAAUGUCAGGGUGAGUUACAAUAUAAAUGCAAGAGGUAGAUAGGGGUGAACAAAAUUCGAUUCUAUUCGAUUCGAAAAACUCGAUAAAAAAACUAAAUUUUGAAUUAACUAGUUUGAGUUAUUCGGAUCAACUCGAAUAAAAAAAUUAAAAUUUCCGGUUUAACUCGAAUAUGAAUUACACAAUUCGAGUAAACAGAAAAUCUAAAUAAGAAAAGACAAAACCACGUCGUUUUGGUAAAUGUUUAUCUUUUCUAAAGUUAAAAGUCAAAACCAUUAAAUUAAAAGGCAAAACUAUUUUGUUUUGAUAAAUGUUUACCAAUCAGUCUUACUUAUGUAAUUAAAUAAUCUUGUACUUCGUCUACUAGUUAAAUAAUCAAUCCAUAUAAACACAAUAUUGAGUAUAAAUAAUGUGAUUCGUUAACUCGACUUCAAAUUUUUUCGAUUCGAAAACUAUUCAAAUUAAUUUAAUUACCAAAAAAAAUUCGUCAACUCAAUUAAUUUAAAAUUUUUUAAGUCGAUUUUACUCGACGUGACUCAACGCUGAACGGUCAGAUUGUUUAAAUUGAAUUCACUCAGUAGUAACUGUGCUUACCUACUUGCCACUUGGACGACAGACUUUCGACCAACUUAUUUAUGUGUAUUUAAUUUUCUGCAGUUUGUGUUCAAAUUAAAGCGUACUUCAAAAAUGAAAAAUUUAAUGCUCCUAGCCUUAGCUUUUUCUUUGAAUUAUUAUUAUUAUUAUACUUAAUUAAAUAACUCUUGUUAGCUUAAUUACAAUUAGAGAUAUUCAUGUAUUGGGUCGAGUUAAGUUUGGAUUAAGCGCAAAUAAAGUAUUUAGAUUACUUCUUUAAGUUCGGGUUCAGCUCAAUCCAAAAAAUAAGUUUAUUUUUUAUCCAAACCUUUAAAAAAAAAACUCGAAUCUAACCCGAUCAUAUUUAAGUUUUUUAAAUUAAUUUUUAUUUAAAAAUAGUUUUUUUUACUUUUAUUUAUUUUUUAUCCCUCUAAAAUAAUUUUUUUAACUUCGUCCUUAGUGUUGGAUAUAAAUAUAAAAGAAUAACCAUAAUUGAUGCUUUGAAUGUGUUCUCCAUUCAUGUAUUUAAACUGGUUUUUUUGGUAAAAAAAUAUUUUUUAACAGGUAUGAUUUGAUAAUAUUAAAAUCUAGCUUCCAAAUGAUUAGAAUCAGAAUUUCACUGUUGAGAUUUUUUAAGAAAUUGACUCUUAAAUGUACUAUUUUUUUCCUUUGAAAAGACAGUAUAAAUAGGAGAUUAUUCCUUAAACUUCUCCCAUUAUUUUAUUCUUGGUGUUUUGCGGAAUUACACGAGAGAGAAAUUUUGUUAGGAGAUUGGGUUUUAAACCAGACCGUCUGUGAACCCUCUAAUCUUUCAUGGGAAUUGAACCUAGUCUGGUUUCGUUGGUUUUCUUUUAGCUUAUUUUUCGAUCAUAUUUUCAACCAACUGCUUUUGUUUUUUUCAAUUUUGAUUCCUUUAUUAGAAGAGCAAUAUCAAUUAUGUUCCACAUUCUUUAUCCGGGUAUAUAGAUAUUGAAAUACUGUGUUAACCUUGGGGCGACGUCCACUAUACGAUUACACAGAUCAGAACAAAUUUGCUUUUAAGACAGUGAUUCUUCCACAGCACGAUGAUUGCUCUAUUUAUUUAGACUCAGCUUGAUUUCCUAUUAGCGCUAAACAGUUUUAUUUUAUAGUAGUAUAUUUUUAACAUUAAUAACAUGAAAACAUUACUGAAAUAUCAUUAAGAUGAGGCAAUUAUUUCUAAUGAAAAUGAUUUCCAAUAAAUAAUAUUUUAAACACUAACUGAUAAAAAAAAUUGAAAAGAAAAGAAAAACUAAUAAUCCGGCCAACAUAGCAAUCCAACAGCAAUGCUUAAAAAUACCUGAAAGACGAAAUAUAAAAGUAGAAACCAUAUACUACUGAAAAUACCUUAUUCAUAGUAGAGGAGAUUUUAUUGAUCAUCAAAGUGUUUCCAGAGACGCUUACAAGCUUGAAAUCUGGGGACUUGGAGAAGCAAAGUUUAGGAAUUCAUGAUCUUUUUGUAGUGCAGACAUUUUGGUUUCAUCUAAGGUUAUCCAAGCUUCUAUUCCUUUCCCAUAUUUGGUUUCAACGAGAACAGUGAAGUUUCUAAAUUCAGGCCCUGCUUUUCCCAGUAUUGCAAAUGAACAAGGUUGCCCCCAUCCGAAAUCUAGUUUGUGAAAAUCAGUAUUGAUCCAGCUGGUGAAGGCGAAAAUAUCAGGUUUUUCAAAGGAAAACAACAGCUCCAGCUGGUUCAAGUGCUCAGCGAUGGCUUCAAACCCUUGUUCACCUUGGAUUGAUCUCAUGUAUUCGUCGUCGAAAACAGCAAUGGAUUGACUCAUCAACUCGACCAAUGUGGAUAACUCGGUGCCUGUCUCGGCUGGAUUCGAGAGUGCACUCGCCCACCAAAAUACAUUCCCAACCGAACCAUCUAAUGUCGUAAGCUUCCCUUUUGACCUCAUGUUCACUGCUUGGACAACAAUGGAUGGUUUCAAGGUUCCUUGUAUCGCCCUGGAUGCCGCCAUUGAACAUUUCCAGAUGAAACCAGAGACAGCUUCGGUUCGUGUCGGUGUAGUCUCGACUUCCCCUUUUGCCAUGUCCUUUAGGAUGGCUACUGCUUCCUCAUUAAACACAAAUUUCCGUGUAACAAAAUUACCUUUGGUGAACCAUAAGUUUUCCAUCAUGGAUAUGUAAUUCUUGGGCAUUGGAUUUUUAGGUGGAAAGAUCAAGGAGGCCUUAGAUAAGGCAGGAAAUUUAAUUUCAGGGUGGUAUCCUUGGCAGAUUGUUCUCCAAACAAAGGUGAAAAUGAAGCCUGUUUUGGCGUCAGUGAUUUUAUGUGAGGCGCAGAUGCCUAAAGCUACUCCCCCACAUGCAAACAUGGUGACUUGACAAACCAAGAGAGGACCCUGAUGAUUUGAUUCCUUGUAGAAAGGAGGGCAUGGGAGCAAGUUGUUCAAGGUCUCAAUUUGAUGAUGCCUGAGAAACUCGGAUAAUCGACAACCGAUUCGAGCCGAUAAAAACGGAACACCGGCGUCGAAAUCAUGGAUGAACAUGUUACUAAAGAUUCUCCCAGAGAAGGGAUAUAAGAUGUUUAGGGUUUCUGAAAGAGAUUUCUUCAGCUGAGUCAAAAUAUUGGAGGUGUUGGUAUCACUCGGGGGAUAAAAUAAUAUGAUUGGAACAUAAGUGGUGGGAGUUAGCUGAUCAAAUACACAGAGUUUGAAGGGUUCUUUUAGAUGAAUUUCUGGGGAAGAUGGUUUGAUGAUUUCUUUUGAAAGAAUCUGAGCCUCAAACUUCAUCAUUUCUUUGUUUUUUUUCCCUCACCAAUAUGUUUACACAAACUCUAUAGGAAGGAGAAAAAUAUAUAAACUAUUGGAGAUCAAAGCCUCCACUAUAAGAUCUUCUAGUUUUGGCUAAACUACUAUAAAAGCCCUUCACUUAGUUUACCUUUGUUAAAGCCCUUCACUAUAAGAUCUCCAAUAAAUCUGCCAAAAAUAUUGUUAAUAAUAGUAAACAAUUGUAUUAAACAUGGAUAAUAAGUGUAGAUAGUAACAUAUUUUGAUGAAUUACCCAAAAAUUCUAUUUUUUUCGAAAAAAUAUAUCGGAUUAGACCGGUUUUUUUUUAAUUUAUCGGAUUAAGCUGAUUUUGGAGAGAGUGUGGAUUUGGCAGGAAAGUGCUUCUAGCUAGAUGCGCUUUCCUGCUCAGUCAACAAAGCACAUCUAGCUAGACGCGUUUUCCCUAAUGGCUACCCACUCAGCGGUCGAAUUCUAAUGGCUCCCCCCUAACAGUAACUCUUUUCCCCUAUUUAAACCCCAAAUUUCUCACUUUUUCAAUUCACUCUCUACUCUCUCAAUUCAUUCUCAAUCCUCUCUUAAUUCUCACUCAAUUCUCUCAGUUCACUCUCAUUUUUUUAUUAAAAUUGUAUUAAGGUUUUUUAAUUUUUUUGUAUUACAAUUUUUAUUUGUAUUUAUUGAAAUUAUUAAUGACAAAUUCUCUUAUUCGUUUAGAUGACAAGCACAUUUCGACCGUUCAAUUGCAAAUGGUAAGAAUUUUUUUAUUACUUUUAAUCUAAUUUAAUUUAAUUAUUUUGUUGUUAUAUUGAAAUUUAAGAUUUUGUAUUUUUUUUAUAAUUAGCUAGAAGAUCGGAUUUUGGAGACGUACAUUCGCAAUCUAUCUACUCCUUUAUCGUUUUUAAUCGAACCAUACUUGUGAGAUGCAAGAUUUUUGCACAUCGCCCGUAUGGGUAAGGGGUGCAAAUUGGAACUCGAACUUGUAAGCGUGUUGGUGGAAAGAUGGUUAAAGUCUUAUUGGUUUGAGAUGUGAAAUUGGACCUAUAUAUUGUGAUGUUUUCACUUAGGUCUUAAGAUCAACUAUACUUUGUUAAAUGACAAGAUGAAACUAAAAAGGUAUGAGCUUGUAGGAUUCUGCCUACAAGGUCGCGACACUAGCUUUCAACAUUACUACGUCCUUUGUUUGAGGUCGCAACGUUAACUCAUUGUUUUCAAAGUCGCGACAUUGCACCAUCAAAGUCAUGACACCAUGUUUUUGCCAUUGAUGUCGUGACGUGAAACCUUCAUGGUGGCGGCGCCAACUCGAUAAAAUUUAAAAACUUUACAUUUUGGUCAUCAUGUGAUCUCAGAUUAUCAUAGGAGCUUUCGUAAGCUCUUAUAACCCCGGAUAUGAGUUGAAAUAAUGUUUUAUUGAUGUUUUAUCUGAAAUAACUUGUAUAAAUUAUUGAAUGGAUCGAUAUUGUAUUCCUAGUUACUUUGACAAUGAAUGUGACAUCCCGUAACUCGGACCCGACGAUCAGGUCGGAUAUAGGGUGUUACAGAUUCUUUAAAAGAAAUUAGUUUUAGAUGUAUUUACUGAUAAAAUUAAAUCAACUAGAUUGAUAUGACAGUUUUAUUAUUUUAAAAAUUAUAUUAAAAAUGUAUUUUUGAUAUUUAAAUUAAAAUGAAAAUAUUUUUAUUAAUAAAUAUUAAUUGUAUAGGUCAAAUUUUGCUAUUGACCCUAUAUUUUGCAUAAGUUGUAAAUUUAAUACCAAUAAUUUAAUUUCGUUAUUUUCAGUCUCUAUGCUUUUAGAAUUUGAAAAUUUCAGUCCAGUAAUUAUAAAAUUCAUUAAGUUCUGUUAUUUUCAAAAUCUGAUAAGUCAAAUAUAUUAUCGCAUGUGUAAUGUUAUGUCAGCUUGUUAGUCUCAUAUAUUACUCACAAAAAAUUCAGUUAAUAGAUUUAAUGAGUGUUGUUUACAUUAAGACUAAAAUUUCGAAAUUAAAAGGAAUAUAAUGACUAAAAUUGAUCCAAUUGGAGAAUAUAAACCAAAUCUAUGACUUUACGAUUCAUACAUGAUUAAUAGCAUAAUUUAACUAAACAAAUUUGACUGUUACCAUUUGAUUAGGACUAAAAUUAAUCAAAUUAAAGCGCAAAUAUUAAUUUCAUAACUUAUAUAAAAGUACAUGGACUAAUAACAAAAUGUAACCAAUUUUAAUGUCCUUUUUUGAAAGAAUAAUUUUUUAUGUUGAUAUGUCAGGUAGAGGUGCUCAUGGGCCGGGCCCGGCCGGGUUCGGGCCAAGCCCAUAAAAAAUUUCGGCCCGGCCCGAAAUAUGGGCCUGAAAUUUUGUCCAGGCCCAGGCCCGGCCCGGGAAAAAAAUCAUAAGCCCGGGCCCAGCCCGGCCCAUUUUUUAAAUAAAUACCAAAAAAUUAUUUUAAAAAUUAAAAAAAGUAUUUUAAAAUACUUUUUAAAAUUUUAUAUUUUAAAAUUAAAAAAAUUUUAAAAAAAUUUUAAAAAUAUUUUAAAAUUAAAAAAUAAUAAAAAAGUAUUUUAAAAUUAAAAAAUUUAAAAAAUAAAUAUAUUUAUUAUAUUGGGCCGGGCCGGGCCCGGGUCAAAAAACUGGUGCCCGAGGCUCGGCCUGUAAUAGCCCGAUUUUAGGCUUAGUCGGAACAGUGGUUUCGGGACCACAAAUCUGACGAAAAAAAAAUGUAAUGGCUUGAAUUUUCAGAGGUGUCGGAACGGUGAUUCGAGAUCACUAAAUUCGACAAAUGGGUAGAAAAUAUUAUUAAUUUAGUAAGUAUAAGUUAAAUAUGAAGUUAGGAAAAUUUUUGAAAUAGUGAAUAGUGCACUAGAAAUAAAUAUUAAAAUAAUUAGAAUCGAAAUGAGGUAUCAAGACCUCGGGGAUUUUAAACUGAGCCAUAAAUAUUUUUAUAAAUAUUUAUGGAGUGUUAAAAAGUUAGUAUUAAAGUUUCGUUAAGAAAUUUUAAAGUUCCGAUAAUUAAUUGAACAAAAAGGACUAAAUUGUAACAAAUGCAAAAUUUUGGGAAAUGAUUAAAUAGCUUAAAUGAUAAAAGGAAGAGGGCUUAAAAAGCAAAUAGACCCAAGGUCUAUUUGGGCUGGACGGCAGAGGCAUGAAAUCAGCAAGAAAGUAAGGAGAAUUAAGGGCAAAAUUGGAAAAUUGCAAAAUUUGCUUAAUAAAGUUAGGACCCAAGUGGAAUUAUCUAGAUUUCUCUUCAUUUUUCUGAAUUCUCAUCAGCUAAAACACCAUGGAAGGGCUUCUUCAAGCUGGUUCUUCAUAUUUUUAUUACAAGUAAGUUCAAUUCUUGACUAUUUCUUGAAAUUUUUGUAUUUUUAUGACUUUUACAACUAGGCCCACUUGUUAAAUCCAUUAGUUUUUGAUUUUAUGAAAGAAGUUGAAAGUUGAUAUGAAUAUGUGCUGGAAGUAUAUGAUGAUUUAGCAUGAAAUUAGAGCUUUAAAUUGUUCAUAUGCUGAUUUUAUUGAAAGAAUUGAAUAGAAAGUGAAUGUUUGGGACCUAAUAGUAAAAGAGUUUGAAGAUAGAGUUAUAUGUGGAAAUUCUGAAUUUCAAUAGUUGUGUAACAACUUAUAAUGUCUAGUAAAGUACUAAUUGAGAAAAUUAGAUUAAUUGAGGGGUUAAUUGAGAAAGGACCGAAUUGUAUAAACUGUGAAAUUUGGGGCAAAAUAGAAAUCAACAUUUUGCACUAAAGCAGUUUUGGAUAGCAGCAGUAGUGUAACUUUGAAAAAUCACCAAAAAUUGUAGAGAUUGAAUUAGAGGAUGAAUAAAAUAUGAAAUUAAAGCUUAUUGAGUCUAGUUUCUUAUAAAAGAAAUGAUGUGAGCAAUGGAAUUGUAAAUCAUGAGAUAUAAUAGAUUUUGUGAGACAAGGUCAGAAUGAAUUCGGGUUCCCCUGUUCUGACUUUGGAAAAUCAUUAAAAAUUGUACAGAAAUUAUUAUGAGUUAUAGUUUAUAUGGUUAGAAUCCUUAAUGAGUCUAUUUUUAUAAGAAACAAGCUAAAACAUCAUCCGAAUUCUGUACAAUGAGAUAAUUAAUUUUUAGUGAAGAGUGGUCGGAACUGUCAGACAGCGAAACAGGGGAAACUUUAAAGAAUAAACUGUACUAUUUGGCUGAACCAAAAAUUAUGAAAAUUUUAUGGUAUGAAGAUAUGUGAGUCUAGUUUCAGGGAAAAUUAACGGAUCUUAAUUUGGAGCUCUGUAGCUCCGGAUAAAAAUAAUUUAGUGACUCUGACUCGGAUAAACAGCUUUGAAUAUACAUGUUAGUGAAUAUUGAAAUUAUGGUUAAUGUUGUUUAAGUGUGUUAUACACAUUAAGGAUGUGGAAUGGAGAGGAGGAGGAGGAAAAUUGGGAAAUAUAUGAAUGAUUCGUGUAUAAAUGGUCAUAUGUUUGAUUAUAACUCAUAAACGAUGAAAUAUGAAUGAUGCUUAUUUUUGUGCAUUAUUGGUCAUGGUUUAAGCUCAUGUGUGAAAAUAAAGUUUCAUAGUAUGUGUGUAUGGUAUAUUCAGUAUAUGAUUUGGCAUGAAAUAAUACCAUGAAUGGUUUAUGAAUUAACACAUGUUGGUAAGCCUGAUAUAUGAAUAAAUGAUCAAAUUGAGCGGAACGCCGGAUUUGAGUACUUCUGAUCAAGUGAUAAAGUGAUAAGUGGUAGCUUUAGCUACACUUAUCUGAUCAAGUGACAAGUGGAAAGUGAUAAGUAAUAGCUUCGGCUAUACUUAUCUGAUCAAGUGAUAAAGUGAUAAGUGAUAGCUUCGGCUAUACUUAUCUGAUCAAGUGACAAAGUGAUAAGUGGUAGCUUUAGCUACACUUAUCUGAUCAAGUGACAAGUGGAAAGUGAUAAGUGAUAGCUUCGGCUACACUUAUCUGAUCAAGUGACAAGUGAAAAGUGAUAAGUGAUAGCUUCGGCUAUACUUAUCUGAUCAAGAGACAAAGUGAUAAGUGAUAGCUUUAGCUACACUUAUCUGAUCAAGAGACAAAGUGAUAAGUGGCUACACUUAUCUGAUCAAGAAACAAAGUGAUAAGUGGCUACACUUAUGUGAUCAAGAAACAAAGUGAUAGGUGGCUACACUUAUCUGAUCAGGGACAAGUGAUAAGUGAUCAUACGUAAGACCAUAGUUAUACUAUGGCAAAGUGAAAGUGAAGUACUCAAUUUUCCGUGACCGUUCCCUAAUUUGAUUAAAGAUGGUAAGUGACAAAUGGGCCCAAAAGAAUUAAAGUAAAUGGAUAAGUGGUAGUGUAUUUAUAUCAGGACGAUGUUGUUAUUCAAACUAAAGUGAUAUUUUCAUUGCUAAAUUGAGAAUUUCAUAAAUGUGUUAUUGAAUGGUAUAAUCAAUAAACAUUGAGUUAAAUGGUAAAUACGUAUUAGUUUUGAAUUUGAUGUCAUUGAAUUGUACGUGAAUUAAAUGGAAAUUUCUAGUGAUAUGAUUUAAAUUAUGAGCAUGAGAAAUUGCGAAUUGAAUGAAAUGGAAAUGAAGCAUUAAAUUGCAUGAGUAUGUAUCGGGUCUCGCAGGCCCUAAUUAUUAUGAUUAUAAUAUUUUAAGGAUAUAUUGUGAAAAGUUAUAGAAACAUGUUAAUUAUUUUUGAAAGUUUUAAUUUUGAUGAAAUUUUAUAACUCGGUUAAAUACGUUUACAAGUGUAUGUGUUUUGGUAAUGCCUCGUACCCUAUUCCGGUGUUGGAUACGGGUAAGGGGUGUUACAUUUAGUGGUAUCAGAGCUACGGUUUAGUCGGUUCUCGGACCAAACGUAGCAUAUGUGAGCCUAGCUAUACAUGCCACGUUAUUACUCUUGAUGAUGUGAUAUCUCCGGGCUCUAACGAAAUUGCUUUGUUAAGACAGAGAUGAUUUUCAAUCGAGCUAUUUUCGAUAAUGCUAAAAAUGAUAUUGAGAUAAAUGAAAUAUGCUCACAUUAUGUUGGAAUUUGGAAAGGUAAGUAUAAAAAUUUGUGAUAUGGAUGUGUUCAUGUAUGAAAAGAGAUGACUAUAAGUUAAAAAAAAAAGUUUAUGUUGUGAUAAGCUCAUCCAAGUAUGUUGGUGAUUAUAUAAUGCUAUGUGCUCAACAUAUUUGAUUAAGUGAAUAUGAUAAGCAAAUUUACUUAAAUAGAUGGAACGUGUGUAUGUACAUCUGCUUGAAUAAGUGAAAUUAGUGACUGAACAAGAAAGCACAUCCAGUUGGAAACUUUUUCUUGCCAAAUCUGUUGAAAACACAUCCAUUUUCCUUCUCUCUCUCCAAAAUCAACUUAAUCCAAUAAAUUUCGAAAAACUGACCUAAUCUAAUAGUUUUUCUAAAAAAUUAGCACUUUUGGGUAAUUCACCCACAUAUUCUAGCCUAAUUCUUAGUGUAUUUUUGGGUGAUUAUGUGACAUUAAUGGUGAAUUAUAUACUUCUAAUAUUUUAUAUUCAUGUUUUGAUGCUUAAUAGGGCACUUAGGAACAUAGGAGUGAAAAAAAUAGAAAUUAGAACAUUAGAGCAUUUCGGAAGUUGUAUACAUGUAACAGACUUUCACACGGGCAAUCCACAUGGCCAUGUGAUCCACACGGCCGUGUGUACAGGGCGUGCCGAUUUUAGAGGUGUCCAUGGGCCUGGCGGCCCGGCCCGGCCCGACGGCCCGCCCGGAAUAUGGGAAGGUUUGGGUAAAAAUAUAGGCCUGAAAUAUGGGUUUGGGCAAAAAACGAGGUCUGUUUAGACGGGCUGGGCCUCGGGCACCACUUUUUUGUCCCGGGCUCGGGCCAAAUUUAAUAAAUAUAUAUUUUUAUUCUUAUUUUUUAAUUUUAAAAUAUUUUUAAUAUACUUUUAUUUUUAUUUUUUUAUUUUUAAAAUAAUUUUUUGGUGUUUAUUAAAAAAUGGGCCGGGCCGGGCUCGAGCUUAGGAUUUUAUUCCUGGACCAGGCCUGGACAAAAUUUCAGGCCCAUAUUUCAGGUCGGGCUGGGCCCGGGACUAGGAGGCGGGCUGAAAAUUUUUUGGGACCCGACCCAAACCUGGCUCGGCCCGACCCAUGGACAACUGUAGUCGAUUCCGAAACCAUGUGUUGUAACACCCAUUACCCGGUCUGGUUGUUAGACUUGCGCUACAGGAGGUUACCACACGAACACAAAACAUUUACAUACUUUAAACAUACAGAUACACAAAAAUGGCGAACUAAUAUGUGGCGAAUCGCUCCAACGGAUUAUUCAACUAAGUAGAGAAAUUUAAAUGACGAAACUACAGAUACACAAAAAUGGCAGACUAUUCUACAGAUGCCCCACUCUACGAUUUCAUGGAAUUUAAGACAUGGAACAUAAUAGAACUAAACUUCAAUUUAUUAUCAUGCAUCUCAGAACUUAACGAGAUUAUUUAUAAAUAACCUAACAUUUAUAUACAUGCCACUUAGACUGACUCAAUUAAGUCAGAAGUCUGCCCCAAUGUUUGACGGAUAGUGUGGACUUCUUGUUGAUCUAAUCAACGAGCUCUAAAUGUUCCAAAAAUCUUUAAGACAAAAGCAAUCUAAACAUAAGUAUUUAGAAUAUUUAGUAAGAUCAUACAAAUUCGAUAGUUACUUACUUGGCAUAACAAUAUUAUUAUAAUUUAAUAUGCAAAUACAAUUUAUCUAUUCGCCAACAGUAUUCGCCAAUAAGGUGAGUGCACAUAUUUCAUUACACAUAAUAUCCUAAGUAAGUAACUCAAUACAAUGCCCUUAUUCAUAUCUAAUCCAAUCUCAAACUUGUCGUUGAUGCGGACUCCCAUUAUAGAAAUUAUUUCUUUCAUAUUCUCCCAUUUCUUAACUUGCAAAUUUCACAUUUCAUGCUUUAUAUUACUUGAUAAACACUGUAAAAGAACUCAAAACACAAGUACUCUUCACGUCAUAGGCUCAUUUGAGCUAAUCACAUACAGAGGUGUUAGGUUACCUAUCCGGGCUAAACCUUUAUUAACACAAUGAAAGCCUAACCAGGGCUAUAUAUAAAUGUAAGGUUACCAGUAUAGGCUAAACCUUUAAAACAACAUCAAAUUACAAGUCCAAGCUAAAUCUGUGCUACAUGUAUCUUCAAGUCCGCAACAAAUGCUGGAGCUCGAAAUUAUCAGGAAAUACAUGUAACCAUGUGUAUGAGUCUUUUACCAUUUCAUCAGGACGCUAUCAUUCUGUAAUUUUAUUUACAUUCCUUCAUACAUAACUCAAUAUUUCUUAUAUAUUUAUAUUUUGCAACCAACUACUUAUCGAAUUUCAAUUAUACAAUGUAAGAACGAAAUGGAAAGAAAGUUAAAUAAUGUUCAUAUUGUAUGAACUUACCUGACAGAAUGAUCACUCGCCACACUAGAGUCUACUCAACAACUUUUCAUUUCUCGUGAUCUUCUCAUGGCAGAUUCAAAUCCUGAUCUGUAACAUAAUUCCAAUUCAAUUUUUAUUAACCAACACCAUUCAUCAACUUAUAAAACACAUAAGUUAGUUCAUUUCCAUCACUCUAGCUUCCUUUAAACCUACUACUUAACCAAUCAAGCCAUUUAUAACAAUGUUUUAUGAAAAUCUUAAUGUCAUAUCCCAUAUAUAUAUUUUUAAAUUGUAGUGCAAAAACAAUGAAAUGUGUAGUCUAGUGGUCGUAAGCCCCUAAGCUAUUUAGGAGGUCUUUAGUUCGAAUCCCUUUGGUACUUCAUUUUUAUUAAAAUUUUGUACACUGUUCCUAUGUGCAUUAAAGCAUUGUCGUCCAACCCAAUUAUUGCCUUAAUUGGUUUGAUUCUUUUCCCCUUUUAUGGGUCAAACUUGCCAUAAGCUGGGGAACAUGAUCCCCCUUUAUGCUCCUACGUUCAUUCUCCUUCCUUUCACCCUAUCCUUGCUAAAAAUCAAGUGUUGACCACCCUAAAAAACCUCAUUUUCGUCCAACCCUCUGAUUCCCUCUUUUUUCUUUUCUUUUUUCUCUCCUCUCCUCUCCACUCUAUUUUCUUUUAUUUUUGACAAAACAACCACCACCUAAAAUUCCUCCACUGUGAGCUAUAGCUUCACCACCUCCACACCACUAUCCAAGGUUCUCUUCUCCUCUUUUCUUUAGAUCACCGCCUUUCACCAUCGUCGCUGUGAGCCGCCUCGAACCAUCGUGGGAAAACCUUCCUCCACCACUUCUUUUCUUUUAUCUUUUCUUCAAUAUUGUGACCAAAACCCCCACUCUUUUUAUAUUUUUUCUCUUUUCAUUAGACCACCACCGAACCAUUAUCGUCGCUGCCAUCUCCAACACCGUUUUCUGUUGGGAUUCAAUUUUCUCUUUUUCUUCUCUUUCGAUCUCUUCCAUCUCUUCUAAGGAUUUAAUCAUCCUAUCUUAUUUAUUUUAUAUUCAAACUUAUCGAUCAUAUAAUUUUUGUAGAUCGUUAAACCUCUCCGCUCCUUUGGCGAGAUUCAUCAUUGAUUUUAUUGUGUUAUUUAGUAGUGUAAAUACAUGAGGAGAAUUGAGAUCAUUCUUUUUUCUUUAUAUUUUCUUUGUAACACCCCCUAACUCGUAUCUGACGCCAGAAUAGGGUUACAGAGCAUUACCGAACUUAUAACUCAAUCAAUCAAACAUUUUAUAUACAUUUCUCAUUCAAUUCAAAAACCAUUCAUAAACAUUCAUAUGGUCCCAAAUACGAGCCAUCGAGGCCCAAAAUACACAUUAAAAGUGGUCCGGGACUAAACCGAGUACUCAAGAAAUUUUUAGAAAAAUUUUAAAAUAUUUCAACAUGAGGGGACACACGUUCGUGUGGCCAAGCCAUGUGAGCCCGUGUCUCAGGCCGUGUGGGCAUUCGAAAUGGGAAUACACAGUCGUGUCCCAACCUGUGUGUGACCCCGUGUAACUCACUGAUGGGUCACACGGCCAACCCACACGCCUAUGUGCCAAGCUGUGUACCCUUCGAAAUGGCCUCAUUUUCCAAGCUACAUUUCUCACCCAAAUAAGUACCAACCUUGACACCACAAUGGGCAUACAACCUUGGCAUAAUAGGCAUUCAAAACCAACCAAUAUCAAGUUUAUAACAUGCAAUAUCCACACAUACAACAUGAUAUUUAUAAGCACAUCAAUUGACCACUUUAAAACAUGUCAAAUGUACUUCCAAAAUAUACCUAAAUGGUCAAACUUAUAUAUGAGACAUUGUACCUAACUUAGCAUGCAUACGACAUUUCAAUUUCAAUCAUUUGGUAUCCCAAAUACCAAUUCACAAACAAGACAUUCACAUAGCAAUUACACCACACAUAUCAUAAGGUCAUUUACACCUAUUUACAUAUCAAAACAUAUACCAUUUUCAAGCCAACUCAAAAUGGCUAAAUACACAACAAAACAUAUAGGCUAUAAUUAGCCAAAAUGACCUAUACAUGCCAUUUAACCAAAAUAUAUAAGUCCAAAGUACGAAAGUAAGCAUUUGAUAGUGUGAUGCAGUCUCCGACAACUUCCAAUCCGAACGAGCUUUCGAAUCACUAUAAAACACGGAAAAAUAAACAGAGUAAGCAAUUAAGCUUAGUAAGUUCGUAUAAUACAGAAUUAAACUUACCAUUUAACCAUAAAUUUAGGUAAGUAACUCAAAGCAUAACAUAAUUCAAUUUGGCCAAAGCCUAUCACACAACCAUUAACCAAGUUAGCCAUGUAUUCAUAUAAAUCGAGAAUCAUGUAUAAAUUCAACAAUUAUUAAAUUUCAUGUACAUGUACCAUCUAUACCGUGUAUUCGUAUAUCAUAUAAAAACCAUUUUCAUGUAAAUACUUGUAUUAGUUCGUAUUGAACUUGUGUAAUCUCGUAAUAACACUAUGCCUAUUGAACCACUUAGAAUAUCGUUAGAUACACAGGUAGUACACAUGAGGUGUAUUGAACUGUAAUCCAUCAAUUCUUGUACAUGUAUGCUUAUACGAGCGAUAAAUAGGAAGCUCCUCCGAGCUGAAUAACAAUAAACUCAUACGAGUUGUGAAUCGAUAAGCUCUCAUGAGCUAAAAUUGGUAAGCUCAUACGAGUUGUGGUGUGUCCGCAACACAUGCAGGACCACAACCAAAUCGGUAACCCUAAAGACAUGUCAUUUGUAUCCUACGAAUUUCUAAGGUUCAAACGGGACUUGGUAUUCUUCUUACAUCGUCGGUUAUGUGCUCGAUAAUUAUACAUAAUAAUUAAACCAUUCACAUACAUAUGAUUCAAUUAAAGCAUAUAAAUACGCAAUUUAAUUACACAAACUUACCUCAAACUCGUACAACAUAAUAUGAUCAUUUAGUCCAUGACUUUAUCCUUUCCCCGAUUUAAUUCCGAAUAUUGCUUUGCUUGACCUAUAUAAUCAAAUUUAACUCAUUUAAUCUUUAAUAUAUUCAAUUCAAUCCAAAAUUCAUAUUUUGACAAAAUUACUAUUUUGUCCCUAUAUUUUUGAUUUUUUUAAAAUUUAGUCCCUAAGUUCGUAAAAAUAGAAUUUAUGCAAUUUCUCUACACCCAAGCCUAGAAAAUAUCCUAUGUGCUCAUAUUAGCCCAUAAAUUUUACAAUUUCACAUAUUUAACACAUACUUUUCAUAUUUCUCAAUUUAAUCCCUAUUUGACAAUUUUAUUAAAAAUCACUUAACAAAAGUUGUUUAACUAACAACAAAGAUUCAUUUUCAUCCAUUAAACUUCAAAACCCUAUUAUAUUCAUUAAUGGAAAAACUCAAACUAUUCAAUAGUUUUGCAAAUUAGCCCCCUAGUUAGUUAGGUUAAGUUACAACAAUCCCGAAAACAUAAAAACCAUUAAAAUGGGAUUGGUUUUCACUUACAUGCAAGAGAUUUCUUAGCCAAAAGUUUCAAACUCUCCAAGCUCCCCUCUUUUCUGUAAAAAUUGGUUCAUGCAUGAAUGGAGAAGAUGACCUUUUGUUUUAUUUUAUUUUUAUCAUUAAUUUACCUAAUUACCAUUUUACCCUUACCUAACUUUAAAAAUUACUCAAUUACCAAGCCAUGCACACUUUACUAUCACCUUUAAUGGUCUAAUUACCAUAUAAGGACCUCCACUUUAAAGUUCUAUAGCUAUUUAACACCUUUAGGUAAUAGAACACAACUUUCACACUUUACGUAAUUUAGUCAUUUUCAUCAAAUUGAACAUGUAAACGUUAAAAUUUCUUAACGAAAUUUUUAUACUAUAAUUCUAUCAUGCUGUAGAUAUUAAAAAAUAUUAAAAUAAAUUUUUUGACUUCGGAUUUGUGGUCCAAAAACUACUAUUCCGAUUUCACUGAAAACGGGCUAUUAUAUUCUUCCUAUAAUAGAAUAGUGAUAGAAUAUUUACAUCCUUCAUGUGUUAACAUUUUGUCCCUAUGUUCUUUGAAGGACCAAAUGACGCCAACGUAAGAAAUCCUUAGUGUGAUAACGAAGACAUUGAAUCCAAGUGUUGAUCUAAGGGUAAGUAGUUGGUGAGAUUUAUUUCAAUAAACAAUCUUUAAGUAAUAAACCAUAUCCGAUGGAUCUAUAACUAAAAUACUUAUUUGGUGCGUUAGAUUCAUCUAUCAGGUUUAGAUUCAAGCGAAAUCUCUUCUAAUAGGAUUGUGACAAUUGGAUCUACAAUAUAAGGUGUGGGAUCUAAAUCUUUAAUGUGAGUAUAAUAUGUCACUUUCAAUUUUAAUAAUAUGCUAUUAAAUAAUUAUUUGAGAGUACACUAAGUACUCAAUGCAAAGUUGAAAAACUUGUAACACCCCAAAUUCGAUCUAGACGUUAUGGUCGAAUCUGGCGUGUUACAUCGAAGUGUCUUUCAAAAAUUAGACUUGUUGGUAAAAACUCGCUUCUAAGUUUAAAAACCCCUUUAUUAUUAUUUAAGAAAUCAUCUAGUCAAAACGUUUGCCUUGUUAUCUGCUAUUGUUAUAAAAGGUUGAUCUAAAAUCGUGGAAGCUUUUGAAAAAUCCAAUGUUUAAAUUUCUGUCUUUAAAAACAGUAAUUAUUUUGAGAAUUCGUCUUCUCCUAAACUAGCAGUUUAAAAUAAGUAAGCAAAAACCUAGUUAAAAAUUUAAACAAACAUAAAUGGCCUUAUUACAAAAACAAAACCCAACACAAACUUUAAAUUUAAAUAAAAGCAAGUGUAGAACAGCUGCAGUUGUGUGGCCACCUCCGAGUCCCUCGCAACGCCAAAUCGUCUAUGGCUGAGGAUUACCUGUAAAGUUAAAAGGAAAGGGUUAGUUUACGAAAACUUAGUGUGUAAACCCCUAUCAGUCAAUCAGUAUACAACAUGCAGAAUAGUCUGGGCUUGAGCCCUAUUCAGUAACAGUACAGUGUGAGCCUUAGCCCAUUACAGUAUCAGUAUAGUGUAAUAAUGUAACCCAUCCCAAUCCAGCCAACACACAACUCCGUACCACCAACACACCAUGUGGGGAUAAAAUCAACCCACCCAGCCAACACACCAAUAUCGCAUUAAAGCUGCCAAUAAUAAAAGUAUCGCAGCAAAGCUGCCAAUAACAAUAUACUUCCUCCAUAACAAUAUCCCAACCCCAUACAGUAUGUCAUGUCAUAAAUCAUACGUGUAGGCAGAAUUUCAUACUCGAUAAUAGUCAUAUACAAAUCAUGAACACAUCAGUCAACCUACUUCUAGGGGUAUAAUGGUCAUUUUAUCUAUUAGGGGUAAAAUAGUCAUUUUACCAUUUAGGAGUAUUUUGGUCAUUUUACCUAUUUUGAGGUCUCGGUGUGGCCUGUUUAGCCCAGAUUUUUCCCCAGCUAUGAGAUCUACAUAGCCCAGUCCAACAUUUGCCACAAAUCAUGGAUUUCAUCUGUAUAGGGCCCACGAGCCUAUUGAACCCACACGGCCUAUUUCGACCCAAUAUGGCCCAUUAUGGCCUAAGCCCAUGAAAAUUCUCAUAGAGGCCUCUACAGUCUAUCGCCAAUGGUUCGUGGGUUUGGAUUACCACACGAGCGAUUGCAUGCUCGUGUGGUCUCAACGCUGUAUUUUUGGCUUUUCAGCUUUUGUCGUUCUACAGUUACAAUGAGGUGUUUACACACCUGAUUAUGAAAAUGCACUAAGAUCCACGAGCACCAAAGCCUACAUUCAUACAAGGCUUUCCAUUAGUCGCUGAACAAUAGGGUUAAUCUCCCCCUUUUACACCAUUAACCAAAACUAAAAUUAACACUUGCCUUGAUUGUCAAAUGUGGCUUAGCCCACUUAUACCACUGACGAAGGUUGACUACAAUCUCUUUGACGGAUAUCUGCAUUACAAAUGUAUUUUAUUAAACAGUAUUGCUUAUUCAUGUGGUUUAAAUCCAUACAUGAUAACUCACAGAACCGCAGAAAGCACUCGGCCUACACUUUAGAAUGCUAGCCUACAUACUUACCUUUGAUCGAGUGGUGAAAGAAAGGUUUUGACAACUUUAAUAUCACUUGAAACUCCUUCACUUCUCGGGGAAUUCGAACCAUCAGAGAAUAGUUUUCAAGUUGAAACAAAAUUGAAGAGAUGAAUAGGGAGAGAGAAGCAAUAUUCGACAAACAGUUGACCGAAAAAGGGGUAGAAAAAGAAGAGCAAAUCAAAAGAAAGAUGCAACACGAAUCUACUCAACACUAUUUGGUUAAGGUUUGGGAAAGUAGAGGAGAUAAAAGAAACAAUAAAGAGAAGAGGGGAAGAGAAAUGAGGAUUCGACAGAGAAGAGAACCAAAGAGCUAUUCGACCAAAAUAAAAAGGGAAUUAAAGGGAAUAACAGAAAAAGAAAACGAACAAACCCGAGAGGUACAAGAAAUCUUAGUAAAAAUUUGGCACCAAAAGUAAAAAAAGUGAAAAGAAUACUGACUGAAACCGAAGCAGACAGAGAGAAAACAACCCAAAAACCCCAAAAUUAGUUAUCUUAGUGCCUAGUGACAAAAUUUGGCACAAACACUACUCAUCACCCCAACUUCCACGAUUUUCUCCUAAAAUCACUCGACCACAUCAAAAUCUCACUAUUCUCUUCAUGAUUCACUCCCCCAUUCAAAUUCCACAGCAUUUCUGUCAAACUCCACCAACUCACAGCACAGGUGAUAAAAAUAAACACUCCAUAGUGCAACACUAGACUCGAACCACAGACCUCAAGAAUACUUCACACGCCACCUACCACUGGACCAAUAGGCUCUUUAUGUGUCAUAAAACAAGCACUAUUAUUAAUAAAGCUUAUAUGCCAGUGCCUGGAUUAAUUUAAGAGCAAAACUAAAAAAAAUCUGCAAAAGCCAAGACUUGAACCCAGGCUUCUCAAACACUCCUAUACACACCCAAAUCACUUAGCCAUUAAGGCAAACAAGCAAUUUGUGCCAUAUCAUGCAAAAAUUAAAGACUUAAAUUUUAGGGCGUUAUAAAACUCAUCAAAAGGAAACCUAAGUAAGUGCUCAUAAAUCAUUAGUUCAUGAAAACUAUGAUUUGUGAUGUGUUGAUGUAUGUGAAGAUGACAUGUGUGCAAAUCUUAUCUCUAUGUUAUGUGAUACAUGUCUUAAUUGAUAUGUUGAUUAUUUAAACAUGUGUUGUAUAUAUGUGUGUGAUGAGAUCCAUGAUUUAAUAUGAAAAAUAUAUAUUAAAGCAUGCUAAAGUGAAUAAAAAGUGAAUAUUAUAUGAUAUAUGAAAAUGUGAGCAUGUUUACAUGCAAAUGUGUAAAAUUGAGAAAUAUGUGUUAUGUAAGAUUAUGAGCAUGAUUAUAUGAAAAAUACGAAAAGUGAUUAUAUGUGUUAAAAUGGUCAUAUCACAUGCAUGUGGUGGAUAUUGUGAAAGGUGAAAGUUAUGUGGCAGUUCAUCUGCGAUUAUGUGGUUGUUUUCGGUAAUUAUGUGGUGGCUUGUCCACAAUGUGUUAUGUGGCUGUUUAUCGGCAUUAAUGUGAUGGCUUAUCCACAAAUAGUGUGUUAUUGGAUGGAUGGGUUUUAGGGAAUUCGAUAUUGGUAUGUAACAGAUAUGGGUAGGAAGUUCUUCAAAAUGUGUAGGAAAUUCUUCAAAAUGUGCAUUGUUGCAUAAACAUGCCUCGAUAUAUUCAUACAUGUGUAUUUGUGAUGAUAUGAGAUUUCUACAAAUAUGAUAUAUAUUGAAAUGGAUGUGUUUACUUGAUGUGUUGUUAUGUAUGUUACAAUAUUUUGAUGAUCUCACACUGGGCUUGUAAGCUCACCCAUCUUAUGUGUAUGUUUCAGGUAAUCCUCGUUAUUAGGACUCGGAUGCGGAUUUUAGGUGAUGCUCUUGGAUGUGAACUUUUUAAUAAAUUAUGGAUUUUAUAUUUUUUUAUGGACUUUGAUUUGGGUUUGUUUUAAUAACUUUUUGGGACUUUAUAUUAAAUUGUGGACUAUGGCAUUGGGAUUUUCAUUUAUGAUUUUUUUUUGGAUUUCAGUUUUAAAUUAUCAUUAAACAUUUUUAAGAUUUAGUAUUCGCUGCAAAUGUGUUUUCAAAACUAAAUUAUAACACAAGUAUUUUAAUAAAAAGGAACUGAUAAAUUUUAUUGAAAAGAACUUGAUAUUUCCAAAAUGACAUGUUUCAAAAACAAAGGGACUUUUCUUCUGAAAACAUUUUGGCCAUCUUCAUGGCCCAUGUAAUUGCUCAGAUUAGGUCGUAACGUCUAGGUCUAGUUUGAGGGGUUACACUUAAGCUAAUUUUGAAAUGUCUCUAUUUUAAUUGUUAUUCGAAACUAAAAAUUUCUAAUUCUACCAAAUGGCUUUUUAUCAUAGCUUUUCAUCUAGUUUAAACAUUUAACAUCAUGAAGAUCAAGCAUUUAACAAUGGUAAUCUCAAUAAGUCUUUAAAAGUUCUGGAAAUAAACAUCACUAUUAGCUAAAUUGAAGCACGACAAAUUCAGAAACAUCAAAUUCAAGCAAAACAUACUUGAAUUAACUUACCGUCCAAGAACAUAAAGCUAGACCAAGUUUUCCUAGCAUAAUAGAGAAGAAAAACGGUGAUGGAGAGGAUCAAGAAUAGAAUAAUAAAAUGCUUCUUUCCAUCCAUUAAGCUACUGCAUAUAUAUGUCUAAUCUAAUUUAUUAAUUAGGAUUAACAUCAUUACAUGUAAGGUAAAAACCAACACUUGUCUGGCCAUUAACUAUGAAAAUGGCUAAAUUAUCAAUUUGGUCCCUAAAUAAUUAUCAUAUUACCAGUAGUGAAAGAAAUCUAUAGUGGUUAACUUUUACCACCUUUAUGAUUUCAUCCUUAUACUAAAAUAAAUUAUCCAAUUAAUCAAAUUAACAAACUAGAAUUUCAUAUAACACUGUAAUAAACUAAUAUAUAUUAAAUAUUAAAACUUACUGACUCCAUCAUUGGUAAAUAGGGCUCUAAAACCACCCUUUCCGGUACCACUGGAAACAUGUUGUUACAUGUGCGCUAACAGAUGGAAGUCACGAUUUUUAGGUUUUUUGGCACUUUAAGAAGGUAUAAAUAAGGAAAUAAAAAAGAAAAGAAGCAACGCCAAGAGGUAGCAAGAAAAUUAACCAACAAACGUCAUUGAAGUCGAUUUCCAAGCAAUUUUCCAUCAAGAUUCAAGAGUCCAAGCCGAUUUCCAAUGGAGUUAUCAUGGACUUAUUUUAUUUUAGUGGUAUAUUGUAUUUUUUGUGUUUAUUUUUGCAAUUAUAAACUAAUUCUCUUAAUAUUUAGGGAAGAUGAACCCUAGGAUGGAUUGUAUUGUUUGAUUUCUAGUUAUAUGCAAUAAAAUCUUAGUUUCUUUGUUUUAAAUUAUGAAUGCUUAAUUAUUCUUGGGUUGACAAUUCUAAAGUGUUAAUCCAUGUUUGAUGUGCAUAAGUCUAAGGUUGAAUAAUGAUUAGAUCUUGCAUAAUUAAAUGGAGUUCCAUGUAAUCCUAAAAAUAGGAUGACAUAAAUCUACUAAAUUAGAAUCAAAUCUAAUAGGGUGAUCCAUAGAGCAAAUUAAUGCAAUAAUAGGGGUUUUAAUUAGAAAUAAAUUCCAAUUAAUCAACUAGAGUUAGUUGCUCUUAUACUUGAAAGAGAUAUUAGUAUAAAUUAAGGAUUUCUAAGGAUCAAAGAGCUAAGAAAAGAAAUUGCUAAGAAAAAAUUGAGAAUUAUGGAUGAAAUCUAGGUGGAUUCUUACCUAGGUAUUGUUUUUGUCACUUGGUUGAUAUUUGAUUGUUUUUGUAUUUUAUUCUUUGGUGCAUUCAUUAGUUAAUUUAGAUAGUUGAUUUAAUUUUAGUUAAGAUAUUGAAUUAUUAGGUUAAACAAUAGAAAUGUGAUAAUUACUAAUAAUCGUAGUUCUCAAGGGAACGAUAUUUGUGUUCACCAUAGCUAUAGUAUUAAUUGAUAGAUGCAUUUGCCUUAAGUCAAUUUAUUAGUUAGUUUAGUGGACAGCAAUGGAUAAAUGUUAUUAAACCAAGUAAUGAAUAACCAAAAAUAUAGUUAAUAAUAUAUUUUUUAAAUGACUAAACUUAUAAAUUUUCUAUUUAAUCAAAAGUAAAAAGGACCUAAAUUAAAUCUUUUAUUCUUAAGAAAGAGCUAAAGAAGAAUUUUUCCAUUUAGCUGGGGAUGACGACUUGCCUUUUUUUUUCGGAUAAUGGAAGAAGGCAACCAACUGCCUUUAGAUCAAAUAAAUCUUACAUGUGAUGCACCAAGUUUAUCUUCUAACAACAAUUUCCUAACAAGAAAGCUAGAAAACUCAAAAAUAAUAAGUUGAACACCAUCAAUCGAACCUGAUUUAGCAAACCAAUAUGCUACCAUGUUACCCUCUCUUGGAACAAACUGGAACUUAACCUCUUGUAACUAUCUUUUAACCUCAUUAAUCAUUCAUACAAGGGCCAUCGAAGGAGUAUUCAAAGAACUUUCCAUUAUCAUCUCAACAGCAUCUAUGCAGUCACUUUCAACAAUAACCUUAUUAUAAUUCCCUAAUCGAGCCACUUCUAGUCCAUUUAAAAUAUCCCAUAACUCGGACUUAACAACAGAUCCCCUCUCGAUACAUUUCCCGAAACCUUCCAUCCAAUUCCUCGUCGAGUCUCGCACCAUUCUACCAACCAUCAACCAGUGUCCAUUCACAUUUGAAGACCCAUCAACAUUGACCUUAACCUAUCCAAGACUCAGCGGACGCCAUUUUACCCUCACACACCUUGACUUGCAAAUAUUAGAAACAAAGCAAUCUACCCUACAAACAAUCUCUUCAGGCCUAUUUGUUAUUUGCUAAAAGAUAAAAUUAUUCCUAUUUUUCCACAACAACUAGCACAAGGUAGCAUAAAUUUCCGCAUGAGUAUCAUUACCACUAAAAUCACCAGUCAAAUUGACUACUACCCAGUCCAAAAGAUCUAAACUAAAGAAGUGAGACAAAGAAUUCGGGGAUAUCACCGUUUCCAUACCUUAGCCACAACAGUGCAGCCAUACAAAGCAUGAAUUAUUGUUUCCUAAUUAUCCCCAUACAAGGUGCAGCCCGUUGUAAGUGACAGAUUCCUCUUGGCCCUUUCAAAAUUUGUUAAGAGCUUCUGGUGCAAAACUAGCCAAAGUGCUUCAUUCUCGGUGGUAGAUUGGUCUUCCAAAUUCCACUCCAAACACUGGCCCUUGCUUGAUCAUCCAUUUGUACUAAACUAUUAUAUGUCGCUUUAACAGAAAACUUCCCAGCUUUAUGUGGUCGCCAAAGACAAUUAUCCCUACCCGCCACAUCAUAUGGGGGAGGGCAUAUUGCUAUAUACUCCAAGACAUCCCUACCCACAUACCACCACAGAGCUGAUCAG